rnacentral:rRNA from 1 species
GACGAACGCUGGCGGCGUGCUUAACACAUGCAAGUCGUACGGUAAGGCCCUUUCGGGGGUACACGAGUGGCGAACGGGUGAGUAACACGUGAGUAACCUGCCCACAACUUUGUGAUAACUCUAGGAAACUGGUGCUAAUACUGGAUAUGUGCUCCUGCUGCAUGUUGGGGGUUGGAAAGCUCCGGCGGUUGUGGAUGGACUCGCGGCCUAUCAGCUUGUUGGUGGGGUAGUGGCCUACCAAGGCGGCGACGGGUAGCCGGCCUGGGAGGGUGACCGGCCACAGUGGGACUGAGAUACGGCCCAGACUCCUACGGGAGGCAGCAGGGGGGAAUAUUGCACAAUGGGCGCAAGCCUGAUGCAGCAACGCCGCGGGCGGGAUGACGGCCUUCGGGUUGUAAACCGGUUUCAGCAGGGACGAAGCUUUUUGUGACGGUACCGGCAGAAGAAGCACCGGCUAACUACGUG